AAGUGGUCCUCUCAGCUCAGCCUCCCAGAGUGCUGGAUUACAGAGGAAGCGCAGUAAAAUCCGUCAGCCGGGCUGGAGCCCCGAGCGCUAAGCUGGCGGAGGAGUGUGUGCGGACGUCCUCCUGACAGUAGAACUGACUCUGGAACUUGAUUCUUCACCGUGUCAGAACCCACCCCUUGGUGCUGCCCUUCACAGAUUACAAAAGGCUUGAGGGGUGGUGGGGAGUGCUCCCAAGCCCCAAAUGCCCUCAGCAGGCCAGUGACAGGCGUUCUGGGCCACCAGCGUGUCUCAGACCUUCACGGCCGAACCAACAGUGGACACCAACCCUGUUGUCCUCUGGAAAUUUCCUGGGUCUGUAAAUCUUGCCUUUCUCCUCCUGGAAUCGACCAAGAACUUGGACAUCUGUGGGAUGUCCUCCCACCGUGCCCUGAUGCGUGAAAGAGUUCCGUGUCGCAGGCCCCAUUGCCUGCUGCGUGGCCCAGGCCGAGGGCUGGAAGGGCAGCCGCACGCACGCUGCCUCGCGGACAGGGCAGGCCGGCCGGGGCCAUCCGUCUUCCCUGCACGCACACCCUCUCCCCCAGUCAAUACGUCUCUCUCCGAUGGGAAAGUUAAUAAAUUUUGCUCUAGAUUAAAAGUAUUGAUCAUUUCAUUUGUAAACGAUAAAUAAAAAGGGGGAACUUUUCAUUGCACCAGGGGUGGCGUCUGGUGUAUUUUGUGGCUGAGAUUGCGCUCGCUGCCGGGGGGGUUCUCAUAUGCAUUGCGGCCGGCCAGCCGCAUUGAUUUCCUAUUAGUCUCCCAGCACCACCCAGUAACACAUCAUUUCAGUACCUGCUAUUAAUGGUCUUUUGAUAAAUAAUCACUUGUAAGUCAAUAAAUUUUUAUUAAACAGUG